UAUUAAUACAGAGAAGUAAAAAAAACUGACGAAUCCCAUGGUCUUGAUCUUUUCUGCGUGUAAUUCAGUGCGUGGAACAGUGGUAGAAGUCAUUCGGGUCUGGCCAUUUUCCGUGAAUGACAGUAGACCGAUGUAGAUUCACCGACACAUAAAAGGAAAAAAGGACAAAACUUUAGAGGGGAGGAGGCAUAUAUUUCCAUGAUCAUCGUUAUCACGUUAUUAUUAUAAUAAUUUUUUUUACCAGAGAAGCAGAAUGGAGUCUUGAGAAAACCGGUGGGUUGGGGGGGCCAGCAGAGCAGAAGGCAAGGGGGUGAGAGUUAUAAAAGACCGAGCUUGAGAUCUCGGUUUUUGCAUACUCCUUUAUUCAAGUUUCCUCUUUCUCUCUCUCUCUCUCUUCUUUAAGAGAGAGUUUUCGACGGAUUCCCAUUUUGUCUCUCCUUUGGAUUUUGGAAGCAGUGAGAAAAAGAGAGGCUGUACAGAGAAAGAGAGAGAGGUGCUUAUUCAUCCAGCAACUUUCCUGGUAUAAGUUCUAGCAGGCUGAAUCCCUUUGGAAGGCUUGAGAAACAUGUCUCCAGAUCCAGAAAUCCAGGGGACUCCAGACUUCAUGGGAGGGGGGCGUGGCUGCCCCACAGACUGCCUUCGAGAACCAAGACUCAUGUUUGCCAACUUCUCAGUU